AAAUUUUCUUGUUGUUGCUUUGAGCAAAGAAAAACCUCAUGUGAUUGGAGCUUGGUGUGAAGCCAUGGAAUGAUUCCAACUAUCUCUUCUCUUUUUCUUCUCUUCAAGGUUGUGAAUGUUGAAAUAUAUGAAUGCAAAUACGAGUGUGAUUGUUAAUGUAGAAGUGGAUAUGGAUUUUGAAUUGAAUGAAUGAGAAUGUGGAAGUGCAUGUGGGUGUGGAAGUGCAUAUGACUGUUGAUUUGUACCAACGAAGAUGUGGAAGUAGAUAUGGAUGUGGAAGUGGAUAUGAAUGUGGAAGUGGUGGAUUUGUAUGAAUGUGGAUGUGGAAGUGUAUGCAGUUGUGAAAUUUAAAUCGUAUGGUGUAAAAAUAUGGAAGUGCGCUUGGAUGUGGAAGUAGAUGUUAAUGUUGAUUUAUAUGGUGUGCAUGUGAAUGUAGUUGUUAAUGUUGAAUUGUAUGAAUACAAAUAUGGUAGUGCAUGUGGUUGU